ACUCCUACGGGAGGCAGCAGUAGGGAAGUCUUCCACAAUGGGCGCAAGCCUGAUGGAGCAACACCGCGUGAGUGAAGAAGGGUUUCGGCUCGUAAAGCUCUGUUGUUAAAGAAGAACACGUAUGAGAGUAACUGUUCAUACGUUGACGGUAUUUAACCAGAAAGUCACGGCUAACUACGUGCCAGCAGCCGCGGUAAUACGUAGGUGGCAAGCGUUAUCCGGAUUUAUUGGGCGUAAAGAGAGUGCAGGCGGUUUUCUAAGUCUGAUGUGAAAGCCUUCGGCUUAACCGGAGAAGUGCAUCGGAAACUGGAUAACUUGAGUGCAGAAGAGGGUAGUGGAACUCCAUGUGUAGCGGUGGAAUGCGUAGAUAUAUGGAAGAACACCAGUGGCGAGGGCGGCUACCUGGUCUGCAACUGACGCUGAGACUCGAAAGCAUGGGUAGCGAACAGGAUUAGAUACCCUGGUAGGAUAGCC
rnacentral:rRNA from 1 species